CGGACUGCAGCAGCACAAAGCCUUCUCCUUCUUUUCCUUUACAGCACACCAUCUGUUUUCCAGCUCUUGAAGAGCGCUACAAUGAAGCCAGUUUGUGCUGACAAUGAUCAUACCGAUGGUAUAUCUGGGCUGUCUGUCAAUAUAUCUGGGUGUGUGGCUUGGGGUGUGUACGAGCACAGACAAUACUCCGUGAUUCAACAAAUAUGAAACAACAGGAAGCUUUUGGUGAAAGCUGCUCGGGGAAGAAAUGUUUCUUCAAAUCUUCAUGGACUGAGUUUGAAUCAGUAUGAAAGGUGUUCGAAUGAAGUCUUGGAGAGUAACUUCCAGAAGCUACACAGGAAGAU